GACAGAGGUGCCGAGGGUUAGGCGGAAUCACUGGGCUUAAAGCGUGUGUAGGCGGAUCUGUAAGUACCUUGUGAAAUCCCACGGCUCAACCGUGGAACUGCUGGGUAUACUGGUUGUCUUGAGCCAGCUAGGGGCGAGCGGAACAGACGGUGGAGCGGUGAAAUGCGUAGAUAUCGUCUGGAACGCCGAAGGUGAAAACAGCUCGCUGGGGCUGCGCUGACGCUGAGACACGAAAGCCAGGGGAGCGAACGGG
rnacentral:rRNA from 1 species